UUACCAUAAGGGCUGUUUGAAUAUUCUCCCGUUAUUCCUCUUUUGCCAAUAGUGAGAUAUCUGCCUGUUUUACUCAAGACAGUGACAUUCUUAAAUGCAUUCAUUUUAGCUGUUGACUUUCCCUCUACUGCGAAGCUUAGUUCGUACACUAAGAACAGAAUUAAGAACAGUGCUCUUCUUCGCGAAGUGAAGGGUUCCGGAACAAUACGAGUUGAAGACAAAGACUUUUUGAAUUGUAAAACCAUUUUUAUGAUAGUUCUAUUUGUCAUUUUCUCUUGGUCUUCAAGUUUCCUUAAAUAUUCAUUAACCUUUGUGGAUGGUUUUAUAUCUCAAGUUUUCUUUCUCUUUUAGUCUCUCUGAUCUUUCGGUCUCCUUUCGUCGUUCUUGAUCUUCAAGUUUUUUUAUGAGAUCUUCAAAUCUGCCCUGUAUCAGAUCUCGUCAAAUCCUCGUUUUAAUAUCUCGCGGUAUCUCACUUUUUCUGUCUUUUGAAAUGUGUUCGUAGUAUUAAUGUAUUGACCUCGUUUCUCUUUCCCUAUCCUUGAAAUGCGUUGGAGUUUCCAAAGUAAGGUAACUCAAUUUGAUAUGUUGUUUUCUGUGUGUUUUUAAUUUAAUCUGCCCCCUUCAUGAGACCUUCGUCUUGAAAUCCUGUCGUGUCUCCUGCUGUUGCUGUCUUCAAGUGAAUUCAUGCAACUAACACCAAACCCUCGCUCUCGCC